UACGUAGGGGUGCGAGCGUUUGUCCGGAAUUAUUGGGCGUAAAGAGCUUGUAGGCGGUUUGUCGCGUCUGCCGUGAAAAUCCGGGGCUCAACCCCGGACUUGCGGUGGGUACGGGCAGACUAGAGUGUGGUAGGGGAGACUGGAAUUCCUGGUGUAGCGGUGAAAUGCGCAGAUAUCAGGAGGAACACCGAUGGCGAAGGCAGGUCUCUGGGCCACUACUGACGCUGAGAAGCGAAAGCGUGGGGAGCGAACAGG
rnacentral:rRNA from 1 species